rnacentral:rRNA from 1 species
CCUACGGGUGGCAGCAGUGGGGAAUAUUGGGCAAUGGACGCAAGUCUGAACCAGCCAUGCCGCGUGCAGGAUGACGGCCCUCUGAUUUGUAAACUGCUUUUGUACGGGAGUAAACCCCUAUACGUGUAUCUGGUUGAAAUUAUCGUACGAAUAAGGGUCGGCUAACUCCGUGCCAUCCCCCGAGGUAAGCCGGAGGAGCCGAGCGUUAUCCGGUUUUAUUGGGUUGAAAGGGUGCGUAGGCGGGUUGAUAAGUUAGAGGUGAAAUGUCGGGGUUGAACCCCGAAAAUGCUACUAAUACUGUUGUACUAGAGAAUAGGUGAGGAAGGCGGAAUGUAUGGUGUAGCGGUGAAAUGCUUAGAGAUCAUACAGAAUACCGAUUGCGAAGGCAGCUUACCAAACUAUAUCUGACGUUGAGGCACGAAAGCGUGGGUAGCAAACAGGAUUAGAUACCCUAGUAGUC